rnacentral:antisense_RNA from 1 species
AAGUUUACAAAUUUGUGUUGGGCCACAUUCAAAGCUGUCCUGGGUGGCAUGAGAACCAUGAGCUGAGGAUUGGACAAGCUUGCUCUACAAUAUUCAAAGAGCCAGAUUUCCUUCUGCACCAGAGCCUGUGGAAGCGCCACAGCGGAAGCACAGAGACUGGAAGAGCAGGCAAGAAGCUGGGAGCUUUGCACUGAACCAGGAAGACAUCACAGCUCUUAGGCGAAGACCCGGAAAGGUGUCAACAUGGCCACACUACUGCUCCCACCUUGUCCUUAUUUUCCUCAUCUCUCCCCACAGGCCACAGAUCAGCCCUGGGGUUCAGAGGGAUCCUGACGGCUACUCCUCAAGAUCCUCUCUGUUGUGAUUCAUCCCCCCCAGGCCCUACAGUUUCUCCUUCCUGACUCUUACAUUUCUUUGGAUGGCAUCACUAUUUACCUGUCUCCUCCCAUAGUUAGUUGCCAAGCACUGUGGAUUCUACCCCUCAGGGUCCAGACACCCAUUUUCCUUCCCACUGUUCCCUCCCCAUGGAGAAGCCUGUGGCUGACUGACAGCUCAACUUGGAGAAGGUGUUACCUGGGCCAGGUGGGGAAGGUAGGGUUGUUUGCAGAGCAAAGAAGUGAAGGAAGUAUUAACCCUUUGCAUGGCCUCCUGAGAAUCUGACAAGACGUAAAUAGCCAAGAAUAUCUGUGGAACUUAAUCAGUGAGUUACAAUAUUUAUCACUGCAAGUGUGUUGUUCAUUGACACUAUAAAGCCAUAUGGAAUUAAGCAGCCUUGAAACACAAAAUGGAGAAAGGCUAAGAGCUGAGAAUUGUUGCCUUCAGGGAAAUAUAAUC